UACGUAGGGUCCGAGCGUUGUCCGGAAUUACUGGGCGUAAAGAGCUCGUAGGUGGUUUGUCGCGUUGUCCGUGAAAACUCACAGCUCAACUGUGGGCGUGCGGGCGAUACGGGCAGACUGGAGUACUGCAGGGGAGACUGGAAUUCCUGGUGUAGCGGUGGAAUGCGCAGAUAUCAGGAGGAACACCGGUGGCGAAGGCGGGUCUCUGGGCAGUAACUGACGCUGGAGGAGCGAAAAGCCGUGGGGAGCGAACAGG
rnacentral:rRNA from 1 species